UUACGGGAGGCAGCAGUGGGGAAUCUUGCGCAAUGGGCGAAAGCCUGACGCAGCGACGCCGCGUGGGUGAUGAAGGCCUUCGGGUUGUAAAGCCCUGUGGGGAGGGACGAAUAAUGCCGACCUAAUACGUCGGUAGAUGACGGUACCUCCUUAGCAAGCACCGGCUAACUCUGUGCCAGCAGCCGCGGUAAGACAGAGGGUGCAAACGUUGUUCGGAAUUACUGGGCGUAAAGCGCGUGUAGGCGGUUCGGUAAGUCGGAUGUGAAAGCCCGGGGCUCAACCUCGGAAGUGCAUUCGAUACUACCGUACUAGAGUACUGGAGAGGACGGUGGAACUCUCGGUGUAGAGGUGAAAUUCGUAGAUAUCGAGAAGAACACCGGUGGCGAAGGCGGCCGUCUGGACAGAUACUGACGCUGAGACGCGAAAGCGUGGGGAGCAAACAGGAUUAGAUACCCUGGUAGU
rnacentral:rRNA from 1 species